rnacentral:rRNA from 1 species
UACGGAGGGCGCAAGCGUUGCUCGGAAUUACUGGGCGUAAAGCGCGUGCAGGCGGUCGAGCAAGUCGGUUGUGAAAUCCCCAGGCUCAACCUGGGAACUGCAUCCGAAACUGCUCGGCUAGAGUCCCGGAGAGGGAGGCGGAACUCCCAGUGUAGGGGUGAAAUCCGUAGAUAUUGGGAAGAACACCGGCGGCGAAAGCGGCCUCCUGGACGGUGACUGACGCUGAGACGCGAAAGCGUGGGGAGCAAACAGG